rnacentral:rRNA from 1 species
GACGAACGCUGGCGGCGUGCUUAACACAUGCAAGUCGAACGGAAAGGCCCUGCUUUUGUGGGGUGCUCGAGUGGCGAACGGGUGAGUAACACGUGAGUAACCUGCCCUUGACUUUGGGAUAACUUCAGGAAACUGGGGCUAAUACCGGAUAGGAGCUCCUGCUGCAUGGUGGGGGUUGGAAAGUUUCGGCGGUUGGGGAUGGACUCGCGGCUUAUCAGCUUGUUGGUGGGAUAGUGGCUUACCAAGGCUUUGACGGGUAGCCGGCCUGAGAGGGUGACCAGCCACAUUGGGACUGAGAUACGGCCCAGACUCCUACGGGAGGCAGCAGUGGGGAAUAUUGCACAAUGGGCGGAAGCCUGAUGCAGCAACGCCGCGUGCGGGAUGACGGCCUUCGGGUUGUAAACCGCUUUCGCCUGUGACGAAGCGUGAGUGACGGUAAUGGGUAAAGAAGCACCGGCUAACUACGUG